rnacentral:misc_RNA from 1 species
ACACAUUACCUCACUUAUAUAAAGUCACUAACUCAUCGAUACUAAUUCAAUAUAUUUACAUUUUUAAUAUUUAACUUAAUACUAAUAUCUUAUUUUAAAACAUGUUUCUAUAUUACAAGAAAAAACGUCGUUUUCUUGACAAACCGUUCGUUUCGUGUGACAACGAAUCGUUCUGAAUAUAGGAACGGUACUUUAGACAAUGGCACACGAUUUCUUAAACUUUCGAGGACGCUUUGAACACUUUUGAUUCUAGACUUACCGCGACUGUCAAUUUGAUACUUCCGAUAUUUCGAUUACGUCGCAGACACCGUUGACGAAAUAUCGAGAUUUUAAUGUUAUGGAGUGUAGAAGGGAGGAUUCGAAAUUUGACCGAAAUGGCGCUAAUAUCA